CACGUAGGGUGCGAGCGUUGUCCGGAAUUAUUGGGCGUAAAGAGCUCGUAGGCGGUGUGUCGCGUCGGCCGUGAAAACCUGCAGCUUAACUGUGGGCUUGCGGUCGAUACGGGCAUCACUGGAGUUCGGUAGGGGAGACUGGAAUUCCUGGUGCAGCGGUGAAAUGCGCAGAUAUCAGGAGGAACACCGGUGGCGAAGGCGGGUCUCUGGGCCGAUACUGACGCUGAGGAGCGAAAGCGUGGGGAGCGAACAGG
rnacentral:rRNA from 1 species